rnacentral:rRNA from 1 species
CCUACGGGUGGCAGCAGUAGGGAAUCUUCCACAAUGGGCGAAAGCCUGCUGGAGCAACGCCGCGUGGGUGAAGAAGGUCUUCGGGUCGUAAAACCCUUUUUUUAGAGAAGAAAGUGCGUGAGAGUAACUGUUCACGUUUCGACGGUAUCUAACCGGAAAGCCACGUCUCACUACGUUCCAGCAGCCACGGUAAUACGUAGGUGGCAAGCGUUAUCCGGAGUUGUUUGGUUUAAGGGUUGCGCCGGCGGAAGAUCAAUUCCGCGGUAAAAUUGAGAGGCUCAACCUCUUCGAGCCGUUGAAACUGGUUUUCUUGAGUGAGCGAGAAGUAUGCGGAAUGCGUGGUGUAGCGGUGAAAUGCAUAGAUAUCACGCAGAACUCCGAUUGCGAAGGCAGCAUACCGGCGCUCAACUGACGCUCAUGCACGAAAGUGUGGGUAUCGAACAGGAUUAGAUACCCUUGUAGUC